UCUUCCCACAAGGGAAGAAAUUCUGAUGGAACAACCCCCGCGUGAGUGAAGAAGGUUUUCGGAUCGUAAAACUCUGUUGUUGGAGAAGAACGUAUUUGAUAGUAACUGAUCAGGUAGUGACGGUAUCCAACCAGAAAGCCACGGCUAACUACGUGCCAGCAGCCGCGGUAAUACGUAGGUGGCAAGCGUUGUCCGGAUUUAUUGGGCGUAAAGCGAGCGCAGGCGGUUUCUUAAGUCUGAUGUGAAAGCCUUCGGCUCAACCGAAGAAGUGCAUCGGAAACUGGGAAACUUGAGUGCAGAAGAGGACAGUGGAACUCCAUGUGUAGCGGUGAAAUGCGUAGAUAUAUGGAAGAACACCAGUGGCGAAGGCGGCUGUCUGGUCUGUAACUGACGCUGAGGCUCGAAAGCAUGGGUAGCAAACAGGAUUAGAUACCCUGGUAGUCCAUGCCGUAAACGAUGAGUGCUAGGUGUUGGAGGGUUUCCGCCCUUCAGUGCCGCAGCUAACGCAUUAAGCACUCCGCCUGGGGAGUACGACCGCAAGGUUGAAACUCAAAGGAAUUGACGGGGGCCCGCACAAGCGGUGGAGCAUGUGGUUUAAUUCGAAGCAACGCGAAGAACCUUACCAGGUCUUGACAUCCUUUGACCACUCUAGAGAUAGAGCUUUCCCUUCGGGGACAAAGUGACAGGUGGUGCAUGGUUGUCGUCAGCUCGUGUCGUGAGAUGUUGGGUUAAGUCCCGCAACGAGCGCAACCCUUAUUACUAGUUGCCAGCAUUUAGUUGGGCACUCUAGUGAGACUGCC
rnacentral:rRNA from 2 species